CAGCCGCCGCGGUAAUACGAAGGGUGCAAGCGUUAAUCGGAAUUACUGGGCGUAAAGCGUGCGUAGGCGGUUCGUUAAGUCUGUUGUGAAAUCCCCGGGCUCAACCUGGGAAUGGCAAUGGAUACUGGCAAGCUAGAGUGUGUCAGAGGAUGGUGGAAUUCCCGGUGUAGCGGUGAAAUGCGUAGAGAUCGGGAGGAACAUCAGUGGCGAAGGCGGCCAUCUGGGACAACACUGACGCUGAGGCACGAAAGCGUGGGGAGCAAACAGGAUUAGAUACCCCUGUAGUCCCUGUCUCUUAUAA
rnacentral:rRNA from 1 species